GUGUCUUAUAUAUGUUGCUUGGUUAUGUUCAAAGGUAUUUUCUAACUUUUGGUGGGUAUAAACUCAUACACCAAGAUACAUCAAGUGGUCUGCCAAAAUGUAGAUUCUUUCAAGAACUGACUGUCGAAAGGAGUUCAUCUUGACAUUUCUUAGUGUUGUCAUGGUAGGCAGCUAAGAGGUGAAAUGUGAUUUUCAAUGUUUUUGAGUCUUAGUUGAAGUGACUCAGUAGUCCAUCUACUUGUAAGUUACAAAUUGAAAAUACAGUUCUCUUCAGGACUCACGGGCAGCCUACCUUUUGCUUCACUUCUACCUAAACUUUUGGAGUCAAUAUUACAGUUUCAAAAUGGAAGCAUAAAUAGAAGAUCAGAAUCAACAUAAAGAAAAAUUCUUGGUCUAAGGCAGGGCCAGGAAGGAGCCAAAGGUCACAGAAGAGGCAGAGCAGCUGGGACAGGUUACUUCAUGCCUCCAUCUACACCUAGGAGGGUUUGCACAACUCUGAAGCUAAGGACCCAAUGGAAACCUCCUAUUUAGACUCCCUCUGCAUGAAGUCUGGCUGUAGAUCCUUGUAAUGGCUCCAAUCUGUUUCCCAAGGAUUCUCAACCCAUCAAGAACAACAUUCAAAAAUGUGCAUUUCACAGUUGGCGAAUGACCUUAUGGAUAGACCAUCUUAAUACCUACACCAUUUCUUAAAUGAAUGUAACCUGUUCUCUGUGGACUGAGAAUGAAGUCACCUACUCAAGUCAAAUAAGCUUUGACCAUAGCAGGAAGUCUGU